UUCAUUGGAAGCCUGGAGACUCCAAUCACCUCAAGCCCCUUAAUUGCAUGGUACCUUUCCAACCUCCCAGCCUAUAGGACGGCAGUGAACCCACUUCUGAGGGGAAUCGAAGUGGGUCUGGCUCACGGCUUCCUCCUGGUUGGUCCAUUCGUAAAGGCCGGCCCUCUAAGGAACACUGCGGUGGCGGGUCAAGCUGGGUCCUUAGCCGCUGCCGGUUUGGUUGUGAUCCUCAGCAUUUGCUUGACGAUGUAUGGCGUUGCGUCGUUCAAAGAAGGUGAGCCAUCGAUAGCACCGAGCCUAACCCUGACUGGGAGGAAGAAAGAGCCAGACCAGUUGCAAACGGCGGAUGGAUGGGCUAAGUUCACUGGAGGGUUCUUCUUUGGUGGAAUCUCUGGUGUCACUUGGGCUUACUUCCUCCUGUAUGUCCUUGACCUUCCUUACUACUUUAAGUAGAUCAUCAUUUGAUCUAUGUUUUACCUGGUCC
rnacentral:lncRNA from 1 species